rnacentral:lncRNA from 1 species
AUUCAUUGAUCAGAAGAAGAUAUUAUAAGAACAGACUGCUUAGUUUAUUGCGGAAAACUAGGCAAAAACCAUAGCAACGUCUAACUAGACUAGACCUAAAACACCACCAAACAUACAAGGUGUCGGAAGGCGAAACCCCCACAACACACCUGGUUGGACACUCAAGCGCCUUCGCUGCUACAAGAGUGCACACCGACAACCGCCGUUUUAUAUCAGGCAACCACGAGCAUAUCCGCAGACCUCGAGGACAUCGAAGAGGAACGAUAGGUCUGAAAGAGCAAAAACCUAUGCCUCAUCAAUCUCCCGAGCCAAGCCGACAUAGCUUGUCCGACGCUAAUUGCAUGUGAAGGAUGCUUCUGUUGCCCUCCUCAUCGACCAAAGCAGCCUGCUCCAAACGAAAGCACCACCAAAGACUCCACACACUUCCAAACGUUGCCUGCUCCAAAAACCACCGCAUCACCACCAACCAAGUGCUCCAUCACCAGACUUUGCUCCAAAGCAAUGCUUCCAACGAAAUAAUGACACCACGGACGCCACCAUUGCAUAAGGUUUUCACCGGGAGACAAAAACAUGGAGCCAGGAGAGCUGUCGGACCCUCGAUGGCGCCUCCAACAGGAAAAAUCAUACCAAGGGCAUCAUUCUCCAUCCGCUCAGACCGAAAAU